UCAAGAGUACGUGAAACCGUUUGCAGGUAAACAGAUGGACCCACGAAGUCCUGUUAAGUGAGAGAUUCACAUACUUUGGGAGGCAUUUAAUGAAAGUUAGAUUUAUGUUCUAUAAACUAACUUGAUUAAAAAUAGUCAAACCAAAUGAUGCAUUUCUCUUACUUACGUUGGAGCUCUGACUACUUAAUAAAUGUAAGUGCAUAGCUCUAUUAAGUGAUAUAGACCUUCGGGAUCUAAAAUUUACUUUAAUAGAGUGUAAUACUUACAUUUCAAUGAGUAGGUGAAAUUAUUUACGGUUGUAAGUAUAUUCAGAUCAUUUGUAUCGUUGAGAUAUAAAUUGUUGUUAUAACAGGUACAUUCAAGCUUUAUGCUUGAAAACUUGUUCAUAUACAGCGAAUUACAUUUAUCUCAUACCUUACUGAUGAUGAUCCAGAGUAAGUAGGUCGGUCAUCCAUCUGACCCGUCUUGAAACACGGACCAAGGAGCCCAACAUAUAUGCAAGUCGCACAGUCUUGCUUAGGCUUGUGAGGCGUAAUAAACAUAAUGAUGUGAUCUUUCUUUCUCUGAAAGAUAGAGCAACAUCAACCUGUUCUUUCUAUUUACUUAGUUGAACGGCGUUUGAGCAUAUAUAUUGGUACCCGAAAGAUGGUGAACUAUACUUGGGCAAGACGAGAGCCAGAGGAGAACUCUGGUGGAGGUCUGUAGCGAUUCUGACGUGCAAAUCGAUCGUCAGACCUGAGUAUA
rnacentral:rRNA from 1 species